CCUACGGGAGGCAGCAGUGGGGAAUAUUGGGCAAUGGAGGAAACUCUGACCCAGCGACGCCGCGUGCGGGAUGAAGGCCUUCGGGUUGUAAACCGCUUUCAGCAGGGAAGAAGCGAAAGUGACGGUACCUGCAGAAGAAGCACCGGCUAACUAUGUGCCAGCAGCCGCGGUAAUACAUAGGGUGCAAGCGUUGUCCGGAAUUAUUGGGCGUAAAGAGCUCGUAGGUGGUUCGUCACGUCGGAUGUGAAAAUCUGGGGCUUAACCCCAGACCUGCAUUCGAUACGGGCGAGCUUGAGUAUGGUAGGGGAGUCUGGAAUUCCUGGUGUAGCGGUGGAAUGCGCAGAUAUCAGGAGGAACACCAAUGGCGAAGGCAGGACUCUGGGCCAUUACUGACACUGAGGAGCGAAAGCGUGGGGAGCGAACAGGAUUAGAUACCCUGGUAGUCCACGCCGUAAACGGUGGGCACUAGUUGUGGGGACCCUUCCACGGUCUCUGCGACGCAGCUACGCAUUAAGUGCCCCGCCGUCGGGGAGGUACGACGUCGCGAAGAAUUAAAACGUUAAAACGGUAAAGUUAGUACGGCGUGAGACGUGCCGAACGGACGACCGACGAGGGGAGGUAGG
rnacentral:rRNA from 1 species